rnacentral:tRNA from 1 species
GGCAUCGUAGUCAAGUGGUUAAGAUUUUCGUUUCAGGUACGAAAGGCCCGAGUUCGAUCCUCGGCGGCGCCA